AAACGUAGGAGACAAGCGUUAUCCGGAGUUACUGGGCGUAAAGGGCGUGUAGGCGGCCUUCUAAGUGGGUUGUGAAAGCGACUGGCUCAACCGGUCGAGGCCGACCCAGACUGGGAAGCUAGAGGGCGGUAGAGGGGUGUGGAAUUCCGGGUGUAGUGGUGAAAUGCGUAGAGAUCCGGAGGAACACCAGAGGCGAAGGCGACACUCUAGGCCGCACCUGACGCUGAGGUGCGAAAGUGUGGGGAUC
rnacentral:rRNA from 1 species